rnacentral:rRNA from 1 species
CCACAAGGGGUGAAGCUUGCGGUUUAAUUGGAGUCAACGCCGGAAAUCUCACCGGGAGCGACAGCAGUGUGAAGGCCAGAUUAAAGGUCUUGCCAGACGAGCUGAGAGGAGGUGCAUGGCCGUCGCCAGUUCGUGCCGUGAGGUGUCCUGUUAAGUCAGGCAACGAUCGAGACCCGCGUCCUCUGUUGCUACUAGCCUUGUGCUGGGCACACUGAGGAGACCGCCACUGAUAAAGUGGAGGAAGGAGCGGGCCACGGCAGGUCAGUAUGCCCCGAAUCUCCCGGGCCACACGCGAGCUGCAAUGGCAGGUACAAUGAGUUCCGACCUCGAAAGGGGGAGGCAAUCUCGAAAGCCUGCCGUAGUUGGGAUCGAAGGCUGCAACCCGCCUUCGUGAACAUGGAAUCCCUAGUAAUCGCGUGUCAUCAGCGCGCGGUGAAUACGUCCCUGCUCCUU